CUUCAAAGUUCAAUUUUCCAAGUUUGGCUAUCUAUAUACUACAAAUUCUAUGGAAAACGUUGUCACAUUUCAGUUCAGAUCAAAAUUAUACAGUUUAUGGAAUAAGACUUGCAUCCAUCUGUCUGUUAUAUUUAUGUCUCUCUCCUAUCCUAUCAGUAUCCACCAUAAAAACCAAUAGUGCAUCUCCCCCAAUAUCCCAAUAUCCUUUUCGUACAACUUAUUCUCCUUCGCUCCAGCAAGCCACCGCAAAGACGUACAAAGUUUACUUUGAAUUCAAUGAACCAAGCGAAAUUUGCCUGACAAUUAAACAGCUUGAGAUGCCAGAAAAGCCGAAGAAGUAACAGAGGGAAAUAUUUCAUUCAUUCCACGGCUGGCAAAGGAAAAGUUUAUGCAUCAAAGUUAGUUGUGUGGCGCCCCAAACUUGUGCAGCGAUUUCUGUAAGCGAUGCGAUCCACAAAAAUUGGAUGGAAGGCAAACGAGAUGCAAGGGAGUAGAAACCAAUUGCGAAGUUUUCAGCAGAAAGAUGAGGGAGAACUUUCCAAAGGUAAAUCUGUCUCCAUCUCGCCCUCUUCUACCAUUGUGAAUUUAUGCCUUUUGGCUGCCAGCUAGUCGGCUGCAUAAAAAGCGACACAAAAAUAGCAAAGGUAGGAAAAUGCAGUAGCGCAGAAAUUAAAGAAUAAUAUUUUCUUAGGGCCACCGACGAAAUGCAGGCGAGCGUUAACAGCAAAAAAGCACAAGAUAAACACGAAUCGCAUGAGUCCCGGGGAGAAGGGGAGGAAAAUAGAAAAAGGACUCUUUAAAAACGCAUAAAUUGUCAUUGGAUAUCGAGGGUGGAUUUCAAGACCUUCCACCCACAUCUUUAAGUGUUAUUCUUUGGCAACUAACCCCUAUGAAAGCAGCUGCGGCUGGGGCUGUAAUACGAUAUGUUUACUUAAGAGGAAAAUACGGUGGCCCGAAACAGCUUGCAUAAAUAAGCCAUAAAUGGGAUGAUCAACAACAUUACACGAAAGAGCAUUGGAUAUAAAAUAAAGGAAUAUUUAAAUAACCCGACUAGGGCAUAAAUCUGCAUGCAAACUAAAUGACAACAUGCGUGGCACAAACAACAAUUGCAUCAUCAAGCCGUGACGUUUGACAAAUGAGCCUUAACCUUCCCCCAUUUGGCAGAGUAAAAUAUUGCAAGUACACACACAUCCAGCAGCGUGUGUGUUCAAGGUACAUCAAAUGGGUGUAACAAAAGCAAAAAUGCCAACGGAGCAGUCAGCCAUCAGCAGUUGCUAUCUAGAGAUGGGAAAAAUCUAAUAGUGAUCGAGGAUAAUAUUUUGAAAAGGGGAAUAGAUACUUAAAUAUCUGGAAAAUGAAUGAACUAUAAAGGAGUAGCUUUGUAGCUUUAUGCAAUAUAUAUAAAUCCAGACUUAA